rnacentral:misc_RNA from 1 species
GUAUUUAUUUUAAAGGCAAACAUUCCAUAUUUUUGUUAGGAGUAUGUAUAAAAACCAUAGACCAGAAAUGUAAAGAAAGCUCAAUUUUAUUGCAAUCUUUGAACCGAGUUCUUCUCGAGAGAUAUCUAAGGUCUACAAAAGUGCACAAGUGGUUAUAAUUUUAAUGUCAGGUGUGCACAUAUCCCUAAGGACCAGCAACAACCCAAGCAAGUUUAUUCAAUAAUGAUCCUUCCGCAGGUUCACCUACGGAAA